AGUGAACGCUGGCGGUAGGCCUAACACAUGCAAGUCGAACGGCAGCACAGUAAGAGCUUGCUCUUACGGGUGGCGAGUGGCGGACGGGUGAGGAAUACAUCGGAAUCUACUUUUUCGUGGGGGAUAACGUAGGGAAACUUACGCUAAUACCGCAUACGACCUACGGGUGAAAGCAGGGGAUCUUCGGACCUUGCGCGAUUGAAUGAGCCGAUGUCGGAUUAGCUAGUUGGCGGGGUAAAGGCCCACCAAGGCGACGAUCCGUAGCUGGUCUGAGAGGAUCAUUAGCCACACUGGAACUGAGACACGGUCCAGACUCCUACGGGAGGCAGCAGUGGGGAAUAUUGGACAAUGGGCGCAAGCCUGAUCCAGCCAUACCGCGUGGGUGAAGAAGGCCUUCGGGUUGUAAAGCCCUUUUGUUGGGAAAGAAAAGCAGCAGGUUAAUACCCCGCUGUUCUGACGGUACCCAAAGAAUAAGCACCGGCUAACUUCGUG
rnacentral:rRNA from 1 species